rnacentral:lncRNA from 1 species
UAGGCUAGAGGACUGGCUCGAAUUUGAGGGCAACUUGAGUAAUAUAGUAAGACUAUCUCAAAAUAAAGACACCAAAAAUGUUCAACACUUUUUUAAAAAAUGGUUUUUGAAACAUUUCAGUUUAAGAUACUUAGGUAACAUUCUAUUUUGUUGUUCAUGUUAUGAUGGCUAUUCCUUUGUUGUCCAUAUUGUUCUUAAAAUUCUAAGCUCAAGAGACCUUCCUGACUCAUAUCCAGAUGUCUGGGUUUGACUGAAUCUUACUUCAGACAUUCUAUUUUAGACAGUAACUCUUACCUCUAAUUUGUUAUUGCUUACAAAUGUAGUAAGUUGGGUCUACUGGUACAGGCCUAUAAUUCUAGCUGCUUAGGAGGCUGAGAUGGGAAGAGCCAAGGUUCAGAGUAGGCCAGACCCUACUUAAACAACUUCCCUAUGGAUGAGUUUAUGUACUUUUACAUUUGUGAAUUUAUUUGUUUAGUGUGUAUGUAUAUGCAUGUGCCAACACAAAAGGGAAGAUCAGAGGACACCUUGUGGAAGUCGGUUCUCUUUUUCCAUUAUGUGGGUGGAAAGAUAGCAAAAACCUGUCCUUAAAAAAAGCUGGAGGUGAGGGUGGUGCAUGCCUUUAAUCCCAGCAGAGGAAGGCAAGGCAGGUGGAUCUCUGAGUUCAAGGCCCCAGGGUUUCAAAGAGGAACCCUGUCUCAAAAAACAAAACAAAACAAAAACCAACGAGGCAAAGGAUGCAGCUCAGUCGUUGAGCACUUGCCUAUCAUGCAUGAAAUCCUGGGCUCAACCCUCUGUUCCAUAACAUUGUGCGCAUGAGUGUGUGUGUGUGCGUGCAUGCAUGCGUGUGUCAUAUACCUUGUGUGGGUAAAUAGCCAAUCUGUACGUUUCUAAAGAAUAGUACAAGUGGACAGUAAAUUGGUAUUUGGCGUGUAGACUCUUCCAAGUUUAUCUGAAGAGCUGGAGGUAUAGCUCAGUGAAACUCUUACCUAGCAAACACAAACCCUAGAUUCAAUACUCAACACC